AGAGACGUCAGAGGCUCACGGUGGAAAAUGUAGGAACAAGUCUUCCGCUUCGGCUCUGGGACUGUUGCCAUCUCUAUCAGUGAACAAGCUCUGGAAUGUACCUGAGAAAUGAUAUGCAUGCAGGGAUUAGUUUUUCUUUUUUCUCUUUUUUCCAAAUUUUUUUUUUUUGCAUUUCUUUUGAAAAAUAAACAUGCUAUGAUGCACAUGAUGCAGACACGACUGGCAAGCUGUGCAUCUCUGAACACAGGAUCGAAGCUUCGGCUCGAACUCUGAUCACAAUCAUCUGAAACCCAAAGUCAACUGAUCAACUGUCAUCUGAACCCAAUCUGAGAAACUGAGUCACCAACAGAACCCUGAGUCACCAUCAAGUCACCAUCAGUCACCAACAGUCACCAUCUGUACCUGUUAAAGUGA
rnacentral:lncRNA from 1 species